CUUACCCAUUUCCGGGGGAUAACAGUUGGAAACAGCUGCUAAUACCGCAUAAGCCUAAGGGUUAAAGAAGUAAUUCGGGAAUGGAGAGACUCGCGUCCUAUCAGCUAGUAGGUGAGAUAAGAGCUCACCUAGGCUAAGACGGGUAACCGGACUGAGAGGUCGAACGGUCACACUGGAACUGAGACACGGUCCAGACUCCUACGGGAGGCAGCAGUGGGGAAUUUUGGGCAAUGGGGGGAACCCUGACCCAGCGACGCCGCGUGAGUGAAGAAAUUCCUCGGAAUGUAAAGCUCUGUUGUAUGGGAAGAUAAUGACGGUACCAUACGAGGAAGCCCCGGCAAACUACGUGCCAGCAGCCGCGGUAAUACGUAGGGGGCAAGCGUUGUCCGGAAUUACUGGGCGUAAAGGGCGCGUAGGCGGGAUCUUAAGUCAGGUGUGAAAGACCGCAGCUUAACUGCGGGGUUGCACAUGAAACUGAGAUUCUUGAGGGCAGGAGAGGAAAGCAGAAUUCCUGGUGUAGCGGUGAAAUGCGUAAAAAUCAGGAGGAAUACCGGUGGCGAAGGCGGCUUUCUGGACUGACCCUGACGCUGAGGUGCGAAAGCGUGGGUAGCAAACAGGAUUAGAUACCCUGGUAGUCCACGCCGUAAACAAUGGAUACUA
rnacentral:rRNA from 1 species